rnacentral:misc_RNA from 1 species
AUUAUUUCAUCAGUGGUUCAAUAGAUGGAAAAGUUCGCAUCUGGGAAGUGCUUGGUUGUCAGGUUGUUGAUUAUACUGUUAUAAGGGAAAUUGUUACUGCCGUGUCUUUUCGUCCUGAUGGAAAGGGUGGAAUAGUGGGCACACUGACAGGAAAUUGUCUUUUUUAUGAUAUCAUAGAUAAUCGCUUGCAACUUGAUGCUCAAAUAUCCUUACAGGGCAAAAAGAAGUUAACAGGCAGGAGGAUUACUGGCUUUGAGUUCUCCCCGAGUGAUCCAACCAAAGUAGUAGUAUCUUCUGCUGAUUCAAUAGUACGAGUAUUGAAUGGCAUGGAUGUCAUAUGCAAAUUUAGAGUGUCUAGCAUUGGCAUUGCAGCGAACCAAAUGUCUGCAUCUUUUACCACAGAUGGGAAACAUGUUGUCUCAACAAGUGAAGAUUCUAAUGUUUACAUUUGGAACUACAAUAACCAGGAAAAGAGUGCCUCUCAAGCCAAAAACAUUCACUCUUAUGAGAGUUUCAGGUCUCAAAAUGUAUCGAUUGCAAUACCUUGGGGCGGCAUUGAAAAUGGGCCAGGAGCACUUGUAUCCCCCACACCUGGUAGGGAUAUGCAUGGAAGUAGCGAAAAAAAUGGACAUGUCUGUCAUAAAUAUUUUGGGAAGUUGGACCACAAAAUUCUUCAACCUUCGUCAGAUUGUUUCUCUCUUACUCGUGGGUUUUUGUUAGAUUCUUUGACGAGGGGAUCUGCAACUUGGCCUGAAGAGAAACUUACUGAUUCAAGCCCAGUUGCUAUGUCACCUACAAAGAGUAAAUCUGAAUUCAAGUUUUUGAAGAGUGCCUGCCAGAAUAUCCUCAGUUCUCCUCAUCUAUGGGGUCUUGUGAUCGUAACUGCUGGCUGGGAUGGACGAAUUAGAACAUACCUCAAUUAUGGGUUACCUCUACGCAUUUGAAACUUCAAGUUUUGGCAGAAUGAUCUACGCCUUAGUAUUGGUUUUCUGGCAUUUCGGCAGUGGCACCAAGGCUUGCCAUCCGGUGGAUGCUUCAUGUUUCUGGUUAGCAUAUACAACAGUGGAGCAAGAGAUCUACUUCUUGUGGACACCCUCAAUUUAUCAAGUGUUUAUGGAAAUACACAAUGCAACAUAUCUAUAAUCCUGCUGUUACAAUUGGCUGGGGUUUAGUUACAUUUUUAUUGUAUUUUAAUGCACAUGUUACUUAAAUGAUUCUUUGAUUUGUUUUAAUGCUGCCAUUACAAAAUUGAAUGCAAGUUGUGUUAAAUGAUGAGAGAAAUUUUGAGGUCAUUGUGUAUGGAUUAUUGAGGGAUCAGCAGCGCCCUAUUCCCUGAUGGUCCCAGGGUGGAGCUUCUUUGGGGCAUGACCCUCAAAUUUAC